UUAACUUCUUUCUCAGAGCUGCCAUGGGAAGGACAAAAGAAAACUCUGAAAUAAACAACUAAAAUAUAAAUCAUUCAACAAUACUUUUAGUUAUACACCCAAAGGAAAUGAAACCAGUAUCUCAGAGAGAUGUGUGUACCCAAUGUUCCCCAUAGCUAGAAUAAGGAGCAACUCAGUGUCCACCGAUGGAUGGAUAGAUUCCUUUAGAUGUGACACACAGGUAAAAUGAAAUGUUAACCAGCCACAAACAGGAGGACAUCCUGCCAUUUUACAACUUGGAUGAAGGGGAGGACAGUAUGUUAAGAGAAAGAAGACAUAGAAAGACCAGUAUUUCACGAUCUCACCACUAAUGUCAAACCUAAGUCAAACUCAUAGAGGCAGAGGAUAGAAUAGGGAAGCCAGGGGCUACUGGUCAAAGCAUACAAACCUUCCAUUGUAAGAUAUGUAUUAUUUUUUAGGUGAAGGCCAUGUAAAAGACAGUCUGUGAAAAAGGACCUCGAAGGCCUGGAAUGAGAAAUUAUUUACCUGUCAAACAUAGAGAGGAAGUGGGGGGUCUAGGGAGCAACUGAGGAACCAUGGUAACUAGAGGAGCUUGGAAAAAUGUUUCUUCUUUUUCUUGGUACCCAGACUUGUCACCAUUUUCUACCCAUUUUAUGACUCACCCCUGUGCCACUUUCUCCUCCUAUUCCUUUCCAACCAGAGCUCCUGAAAGAGGAAAUCCAAAUGGAGUCUAACUGGGAAGAAAAUAAAUCUGAUGGUCAAGAGAAAACCUCUUCCAGUCUGUGAAUAAGGAAGGUGUCACCACCAUCAUCAACAGUUUUAAGUUCCUACUGUGUGCAAGAUACUACAGAAAACCAUAGCAAGACAGCCUGCUGUAGAGAGACUGAAAGCAGCAGCCCUGGAAGGUCAUUGAUUGUCUCCAUGGGGUACACUCCUGGCACGUGGGACCCAUCUUCAUAAAGGCCCCUAGAGCAACACCUACUGCAUGAACCCAUUGGAUCCUUCUGAGAAAGAAAACAGAUUGACAUCUUGACAUCUUGAAGCGUGUUCCAGAAAAAGCCCCAGCACUUCCCAGG